AUUGAACGCUGGCGGCAGGCUUAACACAUGCAAGUCGAGCGGAGAUGAGGUGCUUGCACCUUAUCUUAGCGGCGGACGGGUGAGUAAUGCUUAGGAAUCUGCCUAUUAGUGGGGGACAACAUCUCGAAAGGGAUGCUAAUACCGCAUACGUCCUACGGGAGAAAGCAGGGGAUCACUUGUGACCUUGCGCUAAUAGAUGAGCCUAAGUCGGAUUAGCUAGUUGGUGGGGUAAAGGCCCACCAAGGCGACGAUCUGUAGCGGGUCUGAGAGGAUGAGCCGCCACACUGGGACUGAGACACGGCCCAGACUCCUACGGGAGGCAGCAGUGGGGAAUAUUGGACAAUGGGGGGAACCCUGAUCCAGCCAUGCCGCGUGUGUGAAGAAGGCCUUAUGGUUGUAAAGCACUUUAAGCGAGGAGGAGGCUCUUUUGGUUAAUACCCAAGAUGAGUGGACGUUACUCGCAGAAUAAGCACCGGCUAACUCUGUGCCAGCAGCCGCAGUAA
rnacentral:rRNA from 1 species